rnacentral:siRNA from 1 species
GCACAUAUCUUUUCAGUUAAACAUC